UACGAAGGGUGCAAACGUUGCUCGGAAUUAUUGGGCGUAAAGCGCACGUAGGCGGCUUUGCAAGUCCCAUGUGAAAUCCCACGGCUCAACCGUGGAAGUGCAUGGGAAACUGCAGAGCUUGAGUACUUAAGAGGAUCGCGGAAUUCCCGGUGUAGUGGUGAAAUGCGUAGAUAUCGGGAGGAACACCAGUGGCGAAGGCGACUACCUGGCCUGUUCUUGACGCUGAGGCGCGAAAGCUAGGGGAGCAAACGGG
rnacentral:rRNA from 1 species